CCCUAGUAACUGCGAGUGAAGCGGGAAAAGCUCAAAUUUAAAAUCUGGCGGUCUUUGGCCGUCCGAGUUGUAGUCUGGAGAAGUGCUUUCCGCGCUGGACCGUGUAUAAGUCUCUUGGAACAGAGCGUCAUAGAGGGUGAGAAUCCCGUCUUUGACACGGACUACCAGUGCUUUGUGAUGCGCUCUCAAAGAGUCGAGUUGUUUGGGAAUGCAGCUCAAAAUGGGUGGUGAAUUCCAUCUAAAGCUAAAUAUUGGCGAGAGACCGAUAGCGAACAAGUACCGUGAGGGAAAGAUGAAAAGCACUUUGGAAAGAGAGUUAAACAGUACGUGAAAUUGCUGAAAGGGAAACGCUUGAAGUCAGUCGCGUUAGCCGGAACUCAGCCUUGCUUUCGCUUGGUGCACUUUCCGGUUGACGGGCCAGCAUCGAUUUUGACCGUCGGAUAAGGGCUAGAGUAAUGUGGCACCUCCGGGUGUGUUAUAGACUCUGGUCGCACACGGCGGUUGGGAUCGAGGAACGCAGCGCGCCGUAAGGCAGGGGUUCGCCCACUUUCGCGCUUAGGAUGCUGGCAUAAUGGCUUUAAACGACCCGUCUUGAAACACGGACCAAGGAGUCUAACAUACCUGCGAGUGUUUGGGUGGAAAACCCGAGCGCGUAAUGAAAGUGAAAGUUGAGACCUCUGUCGUGGAGGGCAUCGACGCCCGGACCUGACGUUCUCUGACGGAUCCGCGGUAGAGCAUGUAUGUUGGGACCCGAAAGAUGGUGAACUAUGCCUGAAUAGGGUGAAGCCAGAGGAAACUCUGGUGGAGGCUCGUAGCGAUUCUGACGUGCAAAUCGAUCGUCAAAUUUGGGUAUAGGGGGCGAAAGACUAAUCGAACCAUCUAGUAACUGGUUCCUGCCGAAGUUUCCCUCAGGAUAGCAGAAACUCAUUAUCAGAUUUAUGUGGUAAAGCGAAUGAUUAGAGGCCUUGGGGGUUGAAACAACCUUAACCUAUUCUCAAACUUUAAAUAUGUAAGGAACGAAGCCGUCGCUUGAUUGGGACCGCUCGGCCAAUUGGAAAGUUUUCUAAUGGGGCCAUUUUUUGGUUAAACAGAACUGGCCGAUACCGGGAUGAACCCGAAGGCCAAAGAUUAAAGGUGUCGGGAAUA
rnacentral:rRNA from 1 species